rnacentral:rRNA from 1 species
UUAAGCGACUAAGCGUACACGGUGGAUGCCCUGGCAGUCAGAGGCGAUGAAGGACGUGCUAAUCUGCGAAAAGCGUCGGUAAGGUGAUAUGAACCGUUACAGCCGGCGAUGUCCGAAUGGGGAAACCCAGUGCAAUUCGUUGCACUAUCGUUAACUGAAUACAUAGGUUAACGAGGCGAACCGGGGGAACUGAAACAUCUAAGUACCCCGAGGAAAAGAAAUCAACCGAGAUUCCCCCAGUAGCGGCGAGCGAACGGGGAGCAGCCCAGAGUCUGAAUCAGCUUGUGUGUUAGUGGAACGGUCUGGAAAGUCCGACGGUACAGGGUGAUAGUCCCGUACACCAAAAUGCACAGGCUGUGAACUCGAAGAGUAGGGCGGGACACGUGGUAUCCUGUCUGAAUAUGGGGGACCAUCCUCCAAGGCUAAAUACUCCUGACUGACCGAUAGUGAACCAGUACCGUGAGGGAAAGGCGAAAAGAACCCCGGCGAGGGGAGUGAAAAAGAACCUGAAACCGUGUACGUACAAGCAGUGGGAGCACCUUCGGGUGUGACUGCGUACCUUUUGUAUAAUGGGUCAGCGACUUAUAUUCUGUAGCAAGGUUAACCGUAUAGGGGAGCCGCAGGGAAACCGAGUCUUAACUGGGCGUUAAGUUGCAGGGUAUAGACCCGAAACCCGGUGAUCUAGCCAUGGGCAGGUUGAAGGUUGGGUAACACUAACUGGAGGACCGAACCGACUAAUGUUGAAAAAUUAGCGGAUGACUUGUGGCUGGGGGUGAAAGGCCAAUCAAACCGGGAGAUAGCUGGUUCUCCCCGAAAGCUAUUUAGGUAGCGCCUCGUGAAUUCAUCUUCGGGGGUAGAGCACUGUUUCGGCUAGGGGGUCAUCCCGACUUACCAACCCGAUGCAAACUACGAAUACCGAAGAAUGUUAUCACGGGAGACACACGGCGGGUGCUAACGUCCGUCGUGAAGAGGGAAACAACCCAGACCGCCAGCUAAGGUCCCAAAGUCAUGGUUAAGUGGGAAACGAUGUGGGAAGGCACAGACAGCCAGGAUGUUGGCUUAGAAGCAGCCAUCAUUUAAAGAAAGCGUAAUAGCUCACUGGUCGAGUCGGCCUGCGCGGAAGAUGUAACGGGGCUAAACCAUGCACCGAAGCUGCGGCAGCGACACUAUGUGUUGUUGGGUAGGGGAGCGUUCUGUAAGCCUGCGAAGGUGACCUGUGAGGGUUGCUGGAGGUAUCAGAAGUGCGAAUGCUGACAUAAGUAACGAUAAAGCGGGUGAAAAGCCCGCUCGCCGGAAGACCAAGGGUUCCUGUCCAACGUUAAUCGGGGCAGGGUGAGUCGACCCCUAAGGCGAGGCCGAAAGGCGUAGUCGAUGGGAAACAGGUUAAUAUUCCUGUACUUGGUGUUACUGCGAAGGGGGGACGGAGAAGGCUAUGUUAGCCGGGCGACGGUUGUCCCGGUUUAAGCAUGUAGGCUGGUUGUCCAGGCAAAUCCGGAUAAUCAAGGCUGAGGUGUGAUGACGAGGCACUACGGUGCUGAAGUAACAAAUGCCCUGCUUCCAGGAAAAGCCUCUAAGCAUCAGGUAACAUUAAAUCGUACCCCAAACCGACACAGGUGGUCAGGUAGAGAAUACCAAGGCGCUUGAGAGAACUCGGGUGAAGGAACUAGGCAAAAUGGUGCCGUAACUUCGGGAGAAGGCACGCUGGUGUGUAGGUGAAGUCCCUGCGGAUGGAGCUGAGACCAGUCGAAGAUACCAGCUGGCUGCAACUGUUUAUUAAAAACACAGCACUGUGCAAACACGAAAGUGGACGUAUACGGUGUGACGCCUGCCCGGUGCCGGAAGGUUAAUUGAUGGGGUUAUCCGUAAGGAGAAGCUCUUGAUCGAAGCCCCGGUAAACGGCGGCCGUAACUAUAACGGUCCUAAGGUAGCGAAAUUCCUUGUCGGGUAAGUUCCGACCUGCACGAAUGGCGUAAUGAUGGCCAGGCUGUCUCCACCCGAGACUCAGUGAAAUUGAACUCGCUGUGAAGAUGCAGUGUACCCGCGGCAAGACGGAAAGACCCCGUGAACCUUUACUAUAGCUUGACACUGAACAUUGAGCCUUGAUGUGUAGGAUAGGUGGGAGGCUUUGAAGCGUGGACGCCAGUCUGCGUGGAGCCAACCUUGAAAUACCACCCUUUAAUGUUUGAUGUUCUAACGUUGGCCCCUGACCGGGGUUGCGGACAGUGUCUGGUGGGUAGUUUGACUGGGGCGGUCUCCUCCCAAAGCGUAACGGAGGAGCACGAAGGUUAGCUAAUCCUGGUCGGACAUCAGGAGGUUAGUGCAAUGGCAUAAGCUAGCUUGACUGCGAGCGUGACGGCGCGAGCAGGUGCGAAAGCAGGUCAUAGUGAUCCGGUGGUUCUGAAUGGAAGGGCCAUCGCUCAACGGAUAAAAGGUACUCCGGGGAUAACAGGCUGAUACCGCCCAAGAGUUCAUAUCGACGGCGGUGUUUGGCACCUCGAUGUCGGCUCAUCACAUCCUGGGGCUGAAGUAGGUCCCAAGGGUAUGGCUGUUCGCCAUUUAAAGUGGUACGCGAGCUGGGUUUAGAACGUCGUGAGACAGUUCGGUCCCUAUCUGCCGUGGGCGCUGGAGAAUUGAGGGGGGCUGCUCCUAGUACGAGAGGACCGGAGUGGACGCAUCACUGGUGUUCGGGUUGUCAUGCCAAUGGCACUGCCCGGUAGCUAAAUGCGGAAGAGAUAAGUGCUGAAAGCAUCUAAGCACGAAACUUGCCCCGAGAUGAGUUCUCCCUGAGACUUUAAGUCUCCUGAAGGAACGUUAAAGACGAUGACGUUGAUAGGCCGGGUGUGUAAGCGCAGCGAUGCGUUGAGCUAACCGGUACUAAUGAACCGUGAGGCUUAACCUU